rnacentral:snRNA from 1 species
AUAUUUACCUGGCAGGGGAGAUGCCAUGAUCACAAAUGUUCCAGGGUGUGGUUCAUCUGUUGCACUCCAGAAGUGGAAAACUUGACUGCAUGAUUUGUGGUAGUGGAGGCAUGUAUUUGUGCUAUUUCUUG